ACUCCUCUUCGCUGGGAACCAAAAUCUUAACCGAUAGAAGGGUGACUAGAGAAGAAAAAGAAGGAUAGUCGGGGAAAGAAUCAAAUGCCAGAGAAAGAGGACGACCACCGUCGUUGCCAUACUAGAGCCACCGCCGACACCAAAACAUGUAUUUUUUCCCCUUCCUACUUGAAUUCAAUCCCAAGUCUCCCAAUGCCCAUAUCAGAGGGCCGACGGGUGAGCUGAAAAAUGUAGACAAAGUUCGGUUGAGCCGCCGCAGCCAAACCCAAAAAUCCUCUCCGAUGACC
rnacentral:lncRNA from 1 species